rnacentral:tRNA from 1 species
GCCCAUGUAGCUCAGUCGGUAGAGCACUUCCUUGGUAAGGAAGAGGUCAUCGGUUCGAUUCCGAUCAUGGGCUCCA